GAUGAACGCUAGCGACAGGCCUAACACAUGCAAGUCGAGGGGCAGCACAAGGAGCAAUCCGAGGUGGCGACCGGCGCACGGGUGAGUAACACGUAUGCAACCUGCCCGUAAGAGGGGAAUAACCCGGAGAAAUUCGGACUAAUACCGCAUAAUACCAGUUUACUGCAUGGUAGACUGGUUAAACAUUUAUGGCUUACGGAUGGGCAUGCGUAUGAUUAGCUAGUUGGUGGGGUAACGGCCCACCAAGGCGACGAUCAUUAGGGGGUUCUGAGAGGAAGGUCCCCCACACUGGUACUGAGACACGGACCAGACUCCUACGGGAGGCAGCAGUGAGGAAUAUUGGUCAAUGGGCGAGAGCCUGAACCAGCCAAGUCGCGUGAAGGAAGAAGGUUCUAUGGAUUGUAAACUUCUUUUGUAGGGGAAUAAAAAGCGGCACGUGUGCCGUAUUGUAUGUACUCUACGAAUAAGGAUCGGCUAACUCCGUG
rnacentral:rRNA from 1 species